UACGUAGGGGGCAAGCGUUGUCCGGAUUUAUUGGGCGUAAAGAGCGUGUAGGCGGCCAAGCAGGUCCGCUGUGAAAACUCGAGGCUCAACCUCGAGACGUCGGUGGAAACCGUUUGGCUAGAGUCCGGAAGAGGAGAGUGGAAUUCCCGGUGUAGUGGUGAAAUGCGUAGAUAUCGGGAGGAACACCAGUGGCGAAGGCGACUACCUGGCCUGUUCUUGACGCUGAGGCGCGAAAGCUAGGGGAGCAAACGGG
rnacentral:rRNA from 1 species